UCUUCGGUAGUGUAAUGGAUCAGCGCCGCAGACCGGGUAUCUGUAAGUGCGGGUUCGAGUCCUGCCUAAGGUU
rfam:Dictyocaulus viviparus strain HannoverDv2000 D_viviparus-1.0_Cont216.4, whole genome shotgun sequence.